AUACUUACCUGGCAAGGGAGACACUGUGAUCAAGAAGGCGGUUCACCCAGGGCGAGGCUCAGCCAUUGCACUCCGGCU
rnacentral:snRNA from 8 species